CCCUUAGAUGUUCUGGGCCGCACGCGCGCUACACUGACGAAUGCAACGAGCUUAUAACCUUGGCCGAAAGGUCUGUGUAAUCUCCAAAUUUCGUCGUGAUGGGGAUAGAUUAUUGCAAUUAUUAAUCUUCAACGAGGAAUGCCUAGUAAGCGCAAGUCAUCAGCUUGCGUUGAUUACGUCCCUGCCCUUUGUACACACCGCCCGUCGCUCCUACCGAUUGAAUGGUCCGGUGAAGCGUUCGGACCGUGGCCUUUGGACGGUUCGCCGUCUGUUGGCUGCGGGAAGUUCGUUAAACCUUAUCAUUUAGAGGAAGGAGAAGUCGUAACA
rnacentral:rRNA from 1 species